rnacentral:rRNA from 1 species
GGGGGAUAGCCCGGAGAAAUCCGGAUUAAUACCGCAUGUGCUCUACGGAGGAAAGCGGGCCUCUAUUUAUAAGCUCGCGCUUUGAGAUAAGCCUACGUCGGAUUAGCUUGUUGGUAGGGUAACGGCCUACCAAGGCGACGAUCCGUAGCUGGUUUGAGAGGAUGAUCAGCCACACUGGGACUGAGACACGGCCCAGACUCCUACGGGAGGCAGCAGUGGGGAAUAUUGGACAAUGGGCGCAAGCCUGAUCCAGCAAUGCCGCGUGUGUGAAGAAGGCCUGCGGGUUGUAAAGCACUUUUGUUGGGAAAGAAAAGUUUAAGGUUAAUAACCUUGAACCUUGACGGUACCCAAAGAAUAAGCACCGGCUAACUCCGUG